CCUACUGGAGUCUGCAGUGAGGAAUCUUCGUCAAUGGACGAGAGUCUGAACCAGCCAAGUAGCGUGAAGGAUGACUGCCCUAUGGGUUGUACACUUCUUUUAUAUGGGAAUAAAACGUUCCACGUGUGGGAUUUUGUAUGUACCAUAUGUAUAAUGAUCGUCUAACUCCGUGCCAGCAGCCGCGGUAAUACGGAGGAUCCGAUCGUUAUCCGGAUUUAUUGGGUUUAAAGGGAGCGUAGGUGGAUUGUUAAGUUAGUUGUGAAAGUUUGCGGCUCAACCGUAAAAUUGCAGUUGAAACUGGCAGUCUUGAGUACAGUAGAGGUGGGCGGAAUUCGUGGAGUAGCGGUGAAAUGCUUAGAUAUCACGAAGAACUCCGAUUGCGAAGGCAGUCUACUAAACUGCCACUGACAUUGAUGCUCGAAAGUGUGGGUAUCAAACAGGAUUAGAUACCCCAGUAGUC
rnacentral:rRNA from 1 species